CAAUGAAGGAAGUAUGGUAAUGUGUAUAGAAAUUGAAUUGGGUUGCCUGCCUUUUCUGAUGUCAUUUAGCUUUGAUUUGGGGGCAUGAUUUCGCAACAAAACA